AUUGAACGCUGGCGGCAGGCCUAACACAUGCAAGUCGAACGAGCGGCGGACGGGUGAGUAAUGUAUGGGAAACUGCCUGAUGGAGGGGGAUAACUACUGGAAACGGUAGCUAAUACCGCAUACCAUCGGAUGAGCCCAGAUGGGAUUAGCUAGUAGGUGGGGUAAAGGCCCACCUAGGCGACGAUCCCUAGCUGGUCCGAGAGGAUGACCAGCCACCCUGGAACUGGGACACGGUCCAGACGCCUACGGGAGGCAGCCGUGGGGAAUAUUGCACAAUGGGCGCAAGCCUGAUGCAGCCAUGCCGCGUGUAUGAAGAAGGCCUUCGGGUUGUAAAGUACUUUCAGCGGGAAGGCGUUACCCGCAGAAGAAUCACCGGCUAACUCCGGGCCAGCAGCCGCGGUAAUUC
rnacentral:rRNA from 1 species